UUUCAACGGAGAGUUUGAUCCUGGCUCAGGAUGAACGCUGGCGGCGUGCUUAACACAUGC
rnacentral:rRNA from 1 species